AUUGAACGCUGGCGGCAUGCCUUACACAUGCAAGUCGAACGGCAGCAUGGGUGCUUGCACCUGAUGGCGAGUGGCGAACGGGUGAGUAAUGCAUCGGAACGUACCCGGAAGUGGGGGAUAACGUAGCGAAAGUUACGCUAAUACCGCAUAUUCUGUGAGCAGGAAAGCGGGGGAUCGCAAGACCUCGCGCUUCCGGAGCGGCCGAUGUCGGAUUAGCUAGUUGGCGGGGUAAAGGCCCACCAAGGCAACGAUCCGUAGCGGGUCUGAGAGGAUGAUCCGCCACACUGGGACUGAGACACGGCCCAGACUCCUACGGGAGGCAGCAGUGGGGAAUUUUGGACAAUGGGCGCAAGCCUGAUCCAGCCAUGCCGCGUGAGUGAGAAGGC
rnacentral:rRNA from 1 species